rnacentral:rRNA from 1 species
UACGAAGGGGGCUAGCGUUGUUCGGAAUUACUGGGCGUAAAGCGCGCGCAGGCGGCUAUCCAAGUCAGUGGUGAAAUCUCCGAGCUUAACUUGGAAACUGCCAUUGAUACUAUUCGUCUUGAAUUCUGUUGAGGUGGGCGGAAUAUGUCAUGUAGCGGUGAAAUGCAUAGAUAUGACAUAGAACACCGAUUGCGAAGGCAGCUCACUAAGCAGACAUUGACGCUGAGGCACGAAAGCGUGGGGAUCAAACAGG